GGCCCCAUCGUCUAAUGGUUAGGACACCACGCUUUCAAUGUGGGAAUUCGGGUUCGAUUCCCGGUGGGGCUA
rnacentral:tRNA from 4 species